rnacentral:rRNA from 1 species
GAGGGAAGAGGAGAAAGGGACGAAAGUCUGAUCUAGCAACACCGCGUGUGCGAAGAAGGCCUUCGGGUCGUAAAGCACUUUUUGGAAGGAAUAGGAAGGAAUGUACUUCCAGAAUAAGUCUCGGCUAACUACGUGCCAGCAGCCGCGGUAACACGUAGGAGGCAAACGUUAUCCGGAUUUACUGGGCGUAAAGCGCGUGUAGGUGGUACUGUAAGUAGGACGUGAAAGCUCCUGGCUCAACGUGGAGAGGCCGUUCUAAACUACAGAACUAGAGGAUGGUAGAGGGAGGUGGAAUUCCAGGUGUAGCGGUGGAAUGCGCAGAUAUCUGGAGGAACACCGGUGGCGAAGGCGGCCUCCUGGACCAUUCCUGACACUCAGACGCGAAAGCUAGGGUAGCAAACG